AAACCUGGCGGCGUGCUUAACACAUGCAAGUCGAGCGGAAAGGCCCUUCGGGGUACUCGAGCGGCGAACGGGUGAGUAACACGUGAGCAAUCUGCCCUUAGCUUCGGGAUAGCUCCGGGAAACCGGAAUUAAUACCGGAUAUGACCAUGGGCGACAUCGGCCAUGGUGGAAAGUUUUUCGGCUAGGGAUGAGCUCGCGGCCUAUCAGCUAGUUGGUGGGGCAACGGCCUACCAAGGCGACGACGGGUAGCCGGCCUGAGAGGGCGACCGGCCACACUGGGACUGAGACACGGCCCAGACUCCUACGGGAGGCAGCAGUGGGGAAUAUUGCGCAAUGGGCGAAAGCCUGACGCAGCGACGCCGCGUGGGGGAUGAAGGCCUUCGGGUUGUAAACCCCUUUCAGCAGGGACGAAGCGAGAGUGACGGUACCUGCAGAAGAAGCGCCGGCUAACUACGUGCCAGCAGCCGCGGUAACACGUAGGGCGCAAGCGUUGUCCGGAAUUAUUGGGCGUAAAGAGCUCGUAGGCGGUCUGCUACGUCCGCUGUGAAAACCUAGGGCUUAACCCUGGGCUUGCAGUA
rnacentral:rRNA from 1 species